rnacentral:rRNA from 1 species
UACGAAGGGGGCUAGCGUUGCUCGGAAUCACUGGGCGUAAAGCGCACGUAGGCGGCUUCUUAAGUCGAUGGUGAAAUCCUGGAGCUCAACUCCAGAACUGCCUUCGAUACUGGGGAGCUCGAGUUCGGGAGAGGAGCGUGGAAUUCCCAGUGUAGAGGUGAAAUUCGUAGAUAUUGGGAAGAACACCGGUGGCGAAGGCGGCGCUCUGGACCGAGACUGACGCUGAGGCGGCGAAAAGCGUGGGGGAGCAAACAGGG